rnacentral:RNase_P_RNA from 1 species
AAGGCGGGCCGGGCUGUCGUCGCGCGCGGAAGCAAUUCCUGCGCGGGGAGGAAAGUCCGGGCUCCGAAGGGCAGGACGCUGGGUAACGCCCAGGGGGCGAAAUCCCCGGAAAGUGCCACAGAAAACAAACCGCCCCGUUUACGGGGUAAGGGUGAAACGGUGGGGUAAGAGCCCACCAGUUGCCGUGGCGACGCGGCAAGCUAGGUAAACCCCGUCCGGAGCAAGACCAAAUAGGGAAGCGCUGAACCGGCCCGGUGAGCUUCCGGGUAGGUUGCUUGAGGCCGCAAGUAAUUGCGGUCCUAGAGGAAUGACAGCCACCGCCUCGUAUGUUGGCGGAGACAGAACCCGGCUUACAGGCC